GCCGCUAUGGUGAAAUUGGUAGACACGCUGCUCUAGAAGCAGUGCUAGAGCAUCUCGCUUCGAGUCCGAGUAGCGGCA
rnacentral:tRNA from 1 species